rnacentral:rRNA from 1 species
AUAAUGGGUCAGCGACUUAUAUUCUGUAGCAAGGUUAACCGAAUAGGGGAGCCGAAGGGAAACCGAGUCUUAACUGGGCGUUAAGUUGCAGGGUAUAGACCCGAAACCCGGUGAUCUAGCCAUGGGCAGGUUGAAGGUUGGGUAACACUAACUGGAGGACCGAACCGACUAAUGUUGAAAAAUUAGCGGAUGACUUGUGGCUGGGGGUGAAAGGCCAAUCAAACCGGGAGAUAGCUGGUUCUCCCCGAAAGCUAUUUAGGUAGCGCCUCGUGAAUUCAUCUCCGGGGGUAGAGCACUGUUUCGGCAAGGGGGUCAUCCCGACUUACCAACCCGAUGCAAACUGCGAAUACCGGAGAAUGUUAUCACGGGAGACACACGGCGGGUGCUAACGUCCGUCGUGAAGAGGGAAACAACCCAGACCGCCAGCUAAGGUCCCAAAGUCAUGGUUAAGUGGGAAACGAUGUGGGAAGGCCCAGACAGCCAGGAUGUUGGCUUAGAAGCAGCCAUCAUUUAAAGAAAGCGUAAUAGCUCACUGGUCGAGUCGGCCUGCGCGGAAGAUGUAACGGGGCUAAACCAUGCACCGAAGCUGCGGCAGCGACGCUGAUGCGUUGUUGGGUAGGGGAGCGUUCUGUAAGCCUGUGAAGGUGUGCUGUGAGGCAUGCUGGAGGUAUCAGAAGUGCGAAUGCUGACAUAAGUAACGAUAAAGCGGGUGAAAAGCCCGCUCGCCGGAAGACCAAGGGUUCCUGUCCAACGUUAAUCGGGGCAGGGUGAGUCGACCCCUAAGGCGAGGCCGAAAGGCGUAGUCGAUGGGAAACAGGUUAAUAUUCCUGUACUUGGUGUUACUGCGAAGGGGGGACGGAGAAGGCUAUGUUGGCCGGGCGACGGUUGUCCCGGUUUAAGCGUGUAGGCUGGUUUUCCAGGCAAAUCCGGAAAAUCAAGGCUGAGGCGUGAUGACGAGGCACUACGGUGCUGAAGCAACAAAUGCCCUGCUUCCAGGAAAAGCCUCUAAGCAUCAGGUAACAUCAAAUCGUACCCCAAACCGACACAGGUGGUCAGGUAGAGAAUACCAAGGCGCUUGAGAGAACUCGGGUGAAGGAACUAGGCAAAAUGGUGCCGUAACUUCGGGAGAAGGCA